GACGAACGCUGGCGGCGUGCUUAACACAUGCAAGUCGAACGGAAAGGCCCUGCUUUUGUGGGGUGCUCGAGUGGCGAACGGGUGAGUAACACGUGAGUAACCUGCCCUUGACUUUGGGAUAACUUCAGGAAACUGGGGCUAAUACCGGAUAGGAGCUCCUGCUGCAUGGUGGGGGUUGGAAAGUUUCGGCGGUUGGGGAUGGACUCGCGGGUUAUCAGCUUGCUGGUGGGGUAGUGGCUUACCAAGGCUUUGACGGGUCGCCGGCCUGAGAGGGGGACCGGCCACAUUGGGACUGAGAGACGGCCCAGACUCCUACGGGAGGCAGCAGUGGGGAAUAUUGCACAAUGGGCGGAAGCCUGAGGCAGCAACGCCGCGUGCGGGAUGACGGCCUUCGGGUUGUAAACCGCUUUCGCCUGUGACGAAGCGUGAGUGACGGUAAUGGGUAAAGAAGCACCGGCUAACUACGUG
rnacentral:rRNA from 1 species